AGAGUUUGAUUCUGGCUCAGAACGAACGCUGGCAGCGUGGAUUAGGCAUGCAAGUCGAACGAGAAUCCUUGGCUUCAAUCCUUCGGGAGAGAAGCCUUGGAGGAGAGUGGCGGAAGGGUGAGUAACGCGUGAGCAACCUGCCUUUGAGUUGGGGAUAACUCGGCGAAAGCCGGGCUAAUACCGAAUGUGGUCUCCCGACGCCUGUCGGGAUGAUUAAAGAUGGGGACCCUUCGGGGCCUGUCGCUCGGAGAGGGGCUCGCGUCCCAUCAGUUUGUUGGUGAGGUAACGGCUCACCAAGGCUACAACGGGUAGCUGGUCUGAGAGGAUGGUCAGCCACACUGGGACCGAGACACUGCACAGACUCCUACGGGAGGCUGCAGUCGAGGAUCAUAGACAAUGCGCGAAAGCGUGAUCUUGCGACGCUGCGUGGAGGAUGACGGCCUUCGGGUUGUAAACUCCUGUCAUUUGGGAACAAUUGCGGAAGGGGUAAUACUCCUUUCGUUUGAUGGUACCAGAGGAGGAAGUCACGGCUAACUCUGUGCCAGCAGCCGCGGUAAUACAGAGGUGGCGAGCGUUGUUCGGAUUUACUGGGCGUAAAGGGUGUGUAGGUGGCUUGGUAUGUCGGGUGUGAAAGCCCACGGCUCAACCGUGGAACUGCAUUCGAAACUGCCGGGCUAGAGUGCGGGAGAGGAGAGCGGAAUUCUUGGUGUAACGGUGGAAUGUGUUGAUAUCAAGAAGAACACCGGUGGCGAAGGCGGCUCUCUGGAACGUUACUGACACUGAGGCACGAAAGUUGGGGGAGCGAACAGGAUUAGAUACCCUGGUAGUCCCAACCGUAAACGGUGUGCACUUGGUGUGGGGAGGUGUUGACCCCUCUCUGUGCCGGAGCUAACGCAUUAAGUGCACCGCCUGGGGAGUACGGCCGCAAGGCUAAAACUCAAAGAAAUUGACGGGGGCCCGCACAAGCGGAGGAGCAUGUGGCUUAAUUCGAUGCAACGCGAAGAACCUUACCAGGGCUUGACAUGCAGCUGCAAGCCACCUGAAAAGGCGGCCGCCUUCGAGGGCGCUGCACAGGUGUUGCAUGGCUGUCGUCAGUUCGUGCCGUGAGGUGUUGGGUUAAGUCCCGCAACGAACGCAACCCUUGUGUCUAGUUGCCACCACAGGUGAUGAGCCUGUGAGCACUCUAGACAGACUGCCCGUGCAAGCGGGAGGAAGGUGGGGAUGACGUCAAGUCAGUAUGACCCUUACGCCCUGGGCUGCACACGUGCUACAAUGGCUGGUACAGAGGGACGCGAUGCCGCGAGGUGGAGCAAAUCCCCAAAACCAGCCCCAGUUCGGAUUGGAGUCUGCAACUCGACUCCAUGAAGUCGGAUUCGCUAGUAACGGCGCAUCAGCUACGGCGCCGUGAAUACGUUCCCGGGCCUUGUACACACCGCCCGUCACAUCAUGAAAGCUGUCUGCACCCGAAGUCGCUGAUCCAACCUGCAAUUCGUAGGAGGAAGGUGCCGAAGGUGUGGGUGGUGAUUGGGAUGAAGUCGUAACAAGGUA
rnacentral:rRNA from 1 species